rnacentral:lncRNA from 1 species
UUGAGUGCAAGGCUAUCAAUUCUCAGUAUGAGAGUGGAGAGUAAAUCUCUCUUACUAAUUCUCAACAAAUUAUGUGAAACGUCGCAAGUGUAUUGUAGAGUGAGAUAGCAUAAGAGAGCGUACCUGGCUUGUGAUUCCAUCCCUGUAUAUAUAAAUUAUUAUCAAAUAUAAACAGAAUAUAAUAUAAACAGCUAUACCUGAAUAUCCGG